ensembl:lincRNA
GCGAAUAACAAUUUCUAGUUGUCCUGUUAUUUCUCCAGUUAGGGAAGUAAGUAGAAAGUAACAUUAUAGUUGAAAUCAAAUAUCAAUAUAGUAUCAUUUCUUUGCCACACAAUUAUCUUCUCCUAAUAUAGUAAAUAUUAUCAGUGCCAUAGAUAAUCAGGAGGCCAGUCUUCUGCAAAAUGUUAAUUUUAUUACAGAAAGAGAAAGAAAAAUGAGACUCAAGUGGGAAUCUUUUUAUAAUAUUGCUCAGUGAUUUCUCAUUUGGGAAAAUAUGAACAUUGUGAUAAGAAAAGUUGAAAAGUAGACAGACAUGGUGCUGGAGCAGUAGCUAAGAGCUUUACCCCUACGUUCCCUGGCUAAGGCUAUGCCACAGUACAACUAGUGACAUUUAGAAAAAUACUAAACAACAGUUUUUUGCCAUCCAUUUUCUUAUCACAUGUUUUUUACUAUCCUUCUCCCCACAUUCAGAGAAUCUUUAUUCCCUCCCAUGGGGUUGUUGUUUUUGCUGGUGAUGAUGCUGCGACUGCUGGUUCUGAUGCUGUUGUCUUUGUUUACAGUUGCUUUAUUUUUUUCCUCUAGAACAGUAAGAUCCACAUCAAGUUUAUUCAACGUCAUCAUGCUGGCCGGACUUGUCUCUCAUGAGUAUUCUUUACCCUGCUCCAUUCUAGAAAAUAUCUCAGUUAAUAGUAGAUCAUACUUUGUUGAUAGCCUCCUACCCAGUUAGCUCUGUCUUGGUAGUACAUACAAGUAACCCUUGUCAUCCAUCGAGAUUUGUCAUGUCCAUUGUGACGUCAAAUACACCCCUCAUUUAAUCUUCACAAAAUCUCCUGAAGGAGGUAUUAUUUCACUUCCAUUGUAUAGAAGCUUUCUGCUUUUGAUUUUAAAAGGAAUGAGGAGAGGGAAGAUGUUUAGGGACAGCUGUCUGGAUAAGGACAGGACUACCGUCCAACUCUCUUUAGCUCCAAAGACAGGUCUCCUAAGCCCUAUGUAGUCUAUACUUUCCAUGCCUCUUUAUUAUGGUUGAUGAAUCAGUUUUCUUAGUUCUAUUUCUUUUCUCCUUAGACUCUCUCCAAAUAUGUCUAGAAUGUUGGGAAGGCUCCCCUAUGUUAGCAGCUUCAAGAUCUGAGAAUGACUUAAGUUGGAAAACAUUGCUCUUUAUGUCUUUAAACAAGCAAGAAUUUGGUAUAUGAUACAUUCGUUCAGUUACUAAAUUCAGAGUGUAGUGUGUGAUAAAACUCCAAAAACACUCUGUAAUUCAUGCCAAGGCAUCUUUGGCUGGGGCUGAGUUUGCAGACAAUUUAAGAUAUUUAUAAACAUUAUUUGUCGGAAAACACUGCCCUCAGCAAGGUAUAAAAUGUUAUCAGUGUUCCUAAUUCUUAGAAGGACUGUCUCCAUCAAAGCUAAAAUGCUAUACUUGACAUAGUACAAAGUGGUAACAGCUUAGAGUCUGAGGAGAAAUAGGUACAAUUAUCUCUAGGAUUUUUCUUCUGAUACUGGCCAAAAGAAGAGUGCCCUGUAAGUAAAGAUGAAAGCGCAUCUCACACACACACACACACACACACACACACACACACACACACACAUCACAUCACAUACUACUCACCUCAGAAAGACCCUACACCAAGCAAAAGUAGCAACUUGUGGUGGUGGGAGGCCUAUGGCUGGAGCUCCUGAUGGCCAGGGGAUGGCAAGUAUCAUUGUCAUCCUGAAUGUUCUUCAUAAAACUAAGAGAAUGAAAGGUCAUGACACAAAUGUAGCCAUGCCAGGGGCUUUGGGUGCCACCUUGAACCCAUGUCUCCCAUUUUCCACAUACCACUCUUUGAAUCCUAUCUGGUCUCUUCCCAGAAUGUCUCUUGGAUCUACAGCUCCUAUCCAGGCCCACCACCCUCAUCAUAAUCCAGAUCACCAUCUCUUUCACCUGGAUUACCAAACCCUCUGUGGGUUCCUCAAAUUUCUCCACCUCUAGACUCUCUGCUUCCAGUCCUCUCUCUACUCUGUAGCUGGAAGUAUCUUCCUAAAAGUUCCUAUUUCAAUAUAACCAGGACAUAUUCAACAGUUCUACAUACUAUUCAGCGGUCCCCAUAGCAUUUAAAUUAAAGGUAAGUUUUUCUUCACGUGCUCUCAGACAGAAACCUUUCCAAUCUUCUAUCAACAUCUAACUUCACCUUCUCAAAAUAACUUAAGGGUGGGGAAUAGGUACAUAGGACUUCAUUCCUUAGUGCUGAAUUACAGGCUACUGAUGGACUCUGGGAGAGGAGGAAGCACGCACUGUCUCCAGUUGUGUAUCUGCUGAAGAUUAGCUGGGAAGAGGGGACAUAUACAUGGGAGGGAAGCAGGUGAGAGAAAGUAGGGGUGAGGCUAAUCAGAAUGCAUGACACGCAUAUAUAAAAUCGUCAAAAUAACAAACUUAAUUUAAAAAAAAUUUUUUUUUAAAGUCUGUUACUUCAAAUUGGGGUGUUGCUUUUAGACAUGUGGCCUUUGGAAACCCACACUUCCACCUCUUCCUGUCCUCUCCAUGUCCCUCACUCAGUCCAAGUAUGGCAUGGGUGUGAGUACUUUUCCUCCUGAAGGAAGAUUAUUUUAAGUGGAAUAUGCCAUUGAGGCAUAUCAAGCUUGGUUCUACGGCCAUUGGCAUCCAGACAUCCGAGGGUGUGUGUCUAACUGCGGAGAAGAGAAUUACCUCUCCGCUAAUGGAGCCUAGCAGCAUUGAGAAAAUGGUGGAGAUUGAUGCUCAUACGGGUUGUGCCAUGAAUGGGCUAGUUGCUGAUGCUAAAACUUUAACUGAUAAAGCCAGAGUGGAGACACAGAACCAUGGGUUCACUUAUAAUGAGACAAUGACAGUUGAGAGCAUGCCUUAGGCUGUGUCCAAUCUGGCUUUUCAGUUUGGAGAAGAAGAUGCAGAUACAGGUGCCAUGUCAUCCCUUUGCAGUAGCAUUGUUCUUUGGAGGAGCUAAUGAGAAAGGAACCCAACUGUUUCACGUGGACCCAUCUGGGACCUUUUGUACAGUGUGAUGCUCAAGCAAUUGGCUCUGCUUCAGAGGGUGCCCAGAACUCCUUGCAAGAAGUCUAUGACUCUGAAGUCAAGUCUUCACUCAUCAUCCUCAAGCAAGUCAUGGAGGAGAAGUCGAACACAACUAGCAUCAUCGAGCUCGCCACGGUGCAGCCUGCUCCGAGUUUCCACGUAUUCACAAAGGACGAACUGGAGGAGGUGAUCAAGGACAUUUAAGGAGAAGCCUUCCUCUGACUUUUGUGGGACAAUUUCAGUUCUAAUUGCCCUUAGACUUUACUUCCAGUUCUUAUGUUGUGGAAAAUAUGCAGUACAUGUGUUUAUGAUGUCUGUCCAUAACAUCAAUUCUGAAAUAAAAAAACUUAAAUUUAAAAAAAAAAAGAAGAAGAAGAAGACUAUGACUUCUACAGACCCCUCACUCUCCCACCCACUCACCUGCCUGUCACACUGAUCUCCUUUUAGAUUAAUGCAUAUACCCUGCUAUCUGUCACUUAUAGGAGAACACAAGGUCACCCCUAAAGUAAACACCUCAUUCCAUUUUUUCCCACUCAUAUAUUUUGGUUUUCCAUUGUAGCUAUCUCACAGUUGAGAAAACUUGCCCAAAUCCUUCAUCCAGAGUUGAAUGUUUUUCCUGUGUGUUUCCAUGGUAACCCACACUUCCUAUGGCACCAAAACCAAUAUGAGUGACUAUUCAUUCACCCACUGCUCUUCUGCUAUAGGCUGUGUUCUGUAAAAUUCCAGACUUAUUUGAGCUGUAGACUUAUAUCUGCUUUCUAUGGCAGACAGGGUCCUAAAUAGCUAUUGCACUGAGACAGAAAUCUUUCCAAUCUUGUAUCAGCAUCUAACCUCAUUUUCUCAAAUUAACUCCCUAAUUCUCAUUAUCUUUCCAAAGGUGAGUGGUUUCAAUAGGAAUAUUAACAUGGCCAUUGCGAAAUGUCCCCACCACAGCUAAAGGAGAGCAGAGCGGAACCACGUGUGCUCUACACUCACGCUUCUUCCCAGAGCUUCC